UAUUAAAAAGUUUAUCCCUUUGUAUUGUUAAAAACUGACGUAACUAAAUAGUGAUGUUUGGCAUGUCAUAUGUAUCUUUCAUACAGAGACCAAUUUUUAAUAGUAAAAAUGGAUGAAAUCUUUAACA
rfam:Gossypium arboreum cultivar AKA8401 contig_1351_13, whole genome shotgun sequence.